rnacentral:tRNA from 1 species
GCCUUUAUAGCUCAGUGGCAGAGCAUUGGUCUUGUAAACCAGGGGUCGUGAGUUCAAUCCUCAAUAAAGGCA